GACGAACGCUGGCGGCGUGCUUAACACAUACAAGUCGAACGGAAAGGCCCUGCUUUUGUGGGGUGCUCGAGUGGCGAACGGGUGAGUAACACGUGAGUAACCUGCCCUUGACUUUGGGAUAACUUCAGGAAACUGGGGCUAAUACCGGAUAGGAGCUCCUGCUGCAUGGUGGGGGUUGGAAAGUUUCGGCGGUUGGGGAUGGACUCGCGGCUUAUCAGCUUGUUGGUGGGGUAGUGGCUUACCAAGGCUUUGACGGGUAGCCGGCCUGAGAGGGUGACCGGCCACAUUGGGACUGAGAUACGGCCCAGACUCCUACGGGAGGCAGCAGUGGGGAAUAUUGCACAAUGGGCGGAAGCCUGAUGCAGCAACGCCGCGUGCGGGAUGACGGCCUUCGAGUUGUAAACCGCUUUCGCCUGUGACGAAGCGUGAGUGACGGUAAUGGGUAAAGAAGCACCGGCUAACUACGUG
rnacentral:rRNA from 1 species